UUGACCUCAAAUCAGGUAGGACUACCCGCUGAACUUAAGCAUAUCAAUAAGCGGAGAAAAGAAACUAACAAGGAUUCCCCUA
rnacentral:rRNA from 1 species